rnacentral:rRNA from 1 species
CGAGAGCGUGAGGUGCAAACAGGCAUAGAUACCCUGGUAGUACACGACGUAAAUCGAUGAGUGCUACAGUGUUAGACGGUUUCCUCCUCUUCGCGCAGAAGUCAACAGCAUUCAGCGCUCCUCCUGGGGAGAGCGGCCGCAUGUCUCAUCAUCAAUAGAAAUGCCGGUGCGCGCACAAGCGGUGGAGCAUUUGGGAUAACGCGAAGCAACGCGAUGUUCCCGCGCAGGUCUGGACAUAGUGUGAAAACCCUAGAGAUAGGGCUUCUCCUUCGGGAGCAGAGUGACAGAUGGUGCAUGGUUGUCGUCAGCCAACAGAGUGAGAUGUUGGGAAAAGUUUCGUCACGAGCGCGGCGCUGGUUCUUCAGAGUCUUCUCCAAUUUGGAAGAUUUAAUACUGCUGCC